rnacentral:RNase_P_RNA from 2 species
UGAGUUGGGCAGACUGUCGCUGCAUAUCAUCGAAUAUGGGGAGGAAAGUCCGAGCUUCACAGGGCAGAGUGCUGGGUAACGCCCAGAAAGAGCGAUCUUUGGCAAGCGCAACAGAAAGUAAACCGCCAGAAAUGGUAAGGGUGAAACGGUGGGGUAAGAGCCCACCAGUUAUUAUGGUGACAUAAUAAGCUAGGCAAGCCCCACUCGAAGCAAGACCAAAUAGGAAAACCGACUUGCCCAGUCCAUGGUUUUCGGGUAGGUUGCUUGAGGGUAAUGGUAACAUUGCUCCUAGAGGAAUGACAGUCACACAUUUUGUGUACAGAACUCGGCUUAUGCCCGACUCAUAGU